UACGUAGGGGGCAAGCGUUGUCCGGAAUCAUUGGGCGUAAAGCGCGCGUAGGCGGACCUGCAAGUCGGGGGUGAAAGCCCGAGGCUCAACCUCGGAACUGCCUUCGAUACUGGCGAUCUCGAGUCCGGGAGAGGUGGGUGGAAUUCCUAGUGUAGAGGUGAAAUUCGUAGAUAUUAGGAAGAACACCGGUGGCGAAGGCGGCCCACUGGCUCGAUACUGACGCUGAGGUGCGAAAAGCGUGGGGAGCAAACAGG
rnacentral:rRNA from 1 species